UACAGAGGUGGCAAGCGUUGCUCGGAAUUACUGGGCGUAAAGGGCGCGUAGGCGGCCUACUAAGUCAGACGUGAAAUCCCCCGGCUUAACCUGGGAACUGCGUCUGAUACUGGAAGGCUUGAGGAUGGGAGAGGGAUGUAGAAUUCCAGGUGUAGCGGUGAAAUGCGUAGAUAUCUGGAGGAACACCGGUGGCGAAGGCGGCAUCCUGGACCGGCAUUGACGCUGAGGCGCGAAAGCUAGGGGAGCAAACGGG
rnacentral:rRNA from 1 species